CUCUUUCUCCCUCUCUCCCCCUCCCUCUUUCUCCGUCUCUUUCCCUCUCCCCCUCUCCCUCUAUCUAUAUCUGAUAGGGUCUCACUGUGUAGCUUGCCUGAAAUCCACAAAGACCCACCUGUAUCUGCCUCCAGGAUGAUGGGAAUAAAGGGAUGCUCUUCCACCACUGGCCCACUGCUCUCUUAGUGUACUUUCAUGGCACAUAACUUGCAUCUUUUAGUGUCGUCUUCAUGCAGUAGCUUCCUUACAAAAUGUGUGGAUAUUUUCCAAAAUUUUACAGUCCCAGAAGUUUGGGAAUCAUAGUAUAAAGCAGAUGAUUUAUUGCCUCAUGCAGCAUCAAAUGGCAUUCCAAGAGAAAUGGCUCAAAUCUUGGAAAUUUGGGGAUUAUCAGUCAAUCCCUGCAGUGCUUAGGGGAACAGAACAUGAAGCUAGAAAGUACACAAGGAAGCUCACCCUUGUAAUCCCAUCUGGGGAUGCUGAGGCAGGGGAAUCAUAAGUUUGAGACCAUUUUAGAUUAGCUCCUUAUUUGCCUAAUCCUCUUGGAAUGCCAUCUGAUGCUACACAAGGGGAACUCAAUGGACUAUGUCAUACUAUUCAUUGGACUAUGUCAUACUAUGAAUACACAGAUCUUGUUUAAAAGAACAGAAGAACAGAAGGAUUUUGAUUUUAUGUAUAUGAAUUGUAGUUAAACCUGGUUCUUCCUCUCAGCCCUAUCCUCACUCAAAAUACAUUUUCAUAUAACUUGGCCAUAUAGCUAGGCUCUAUUUUGAGUAGACUAUAACUGAAAUAACCCAACUAUUUUAACCUAUACUCUGCCACAUUGCUGAUUAUCUGUGCUCAGAUAUCAUGCAUCCAUCUACUCACCUCUUUUCAGUGACCUUCCUGCCUUCUCUUCCCCAGAAUUCUUUCUCCUCCUAGAUGUCCUACUUCUAUUUCUUGCCUAAGCCGUAGGCUUUUUAAUUGACAGGUGAUGCAUCCAUACAAUACUCAAAAUUUUCUCUCUACAUUUCUUUUUUAGUCCAAUAAAAGGCUCUUUUUGUUUCAAAUACAACAAUUAUAAAACAAUUAUGAAAACUAUGUUUGAUAUAUAUUUAUAAUGUCUGGUCCACUUAUAUUUGGCAAUUUAGAUAAAGUAUUCUACCUAUCCUAUCUUGGUGAGUUUGGAAUUUUAUAUCUAAAUCAACUUUUAUCUUAACUUGAAUUAAUAACCUAAAAACAUCAUCUUAGACUUAGAACAUUCUCCUAAAUGUUAAACAACUUUAAUCAUGAGACUAUAUUUUGUCUUCAACUUCAUCAGAGAUAUGAGAACAAAUAUUAUUUGAAUAUGAAGAAAGCACAGGAACACAGCUUCCAAAAAUUAAAUAAAUGGCAGAGACAGCCAACUUCCUAGACAGUCCCCAGUAUUCUUUAUAAUUUUGGAGCAUUUACCUUCAGCCUUCUGACCCAUCUGAAAGACUUUAAGUCAAGCAGAAAUUAUGAAAGACUAGCUUACUCUGUCUUGGUAGAGCUUAGAAGUUGACUAUCCUGCAUCUAUUUGUCCUUUUUAACAGUAUUUUGUCUGUAGAUAAAAUUAGGACAUUUCUUGCCCAGUGGCUAGUUUGUCAUAAUUGAAGCAACUCCACAUUGAGGUUAUUGAUGCACAUAUAUUUUGAAGGACAAUGAGGAUAGUGUCAGGAACAGAUCUACCUCAUAAUCCUAAGAUCUUUUAUUAACUUUAAAUGCCAUAUUCCAUGAAUCUCUGACACUUUUGAAGACCAUUUUUUCAUAGCAAACACUGCCUGUCUCCAGCUACCUAUUAUCUGUACAGCUCAGGAUGUAUAUUUUUGUGAUAAUCCAGACUAGUAUAUAACCUGACUGAGUUUGAGUAAUUGGUUGAUUAUUGACUUGCAUUAUUUAAUCAUCCUAAACAACUUGUAACAGCAGCUAUUAAAAGAAUUGGAACUAAACCUUAUAUAUUUGAGUAGUAUAGAUGCAAUGCCUAUCCAAGAAUUAAAACAUAUCUAUAAUAUGUUGUAAGAAAAUCUUAAAUUUUGUAUCAACAUACAAAGAUUUAUACCAUUGAAAACCUUGAACCUGUAUCAGUAUACAAAGUUCUGUACUAUUGUAACAAAAUAUAACCUUAUUUUUGUAUCAAUAUACAACUUCUGUACCAAUGUAAGAUUAUGGCCUCAAAAUAUUUUUUGGUUUAAGAAUAAGUUCAAUAAUCUACCCCUAUUUGUCUAAUUUCUUAUAAUAUUUCUAUAUCCCUCCUUUUUCUUUUCAGCCCACACCCUUUGUCUAAGGAAGGAUAAAGAAUUGGAAAGGAAAACUAGAAAUCCCUGAGCCUAACCUUCUUAUUUUGUUUCCUCCAUCUCCAAGACCAUAAUCAUUUUGUAAAUCUCCUAAAAUGACAACAUGUUUAUAAAAUGACUGAAACCAUACUCCCCAACUUAAGGGAGUGGGACAACGGCCUUCUUAUAGUUCCUUCAUGAUGAAUUGAAGAAUUAUUGUUUGGGGCCCAAAAGGAUAUUGGAAAAAUGUUUAAGUCAAAAGAAAUCUAGCUGGCAUCAUUUGUUGUCCAGUCACUAUGUGUUGCUAAGUUCAGGGCUGAACUGAAGUUCUGACUGGAACAGUCUGAAAGGCUGGAUGAACCAAAGUCAUCUGGAAUUAGCAGUCUUUUCUGUUCUGAAAGGAUGCCUCUGGAAUCAGCAUCAGUUUGAGGAGCUGGAACAGCAGACUCAAGACUCUGGUGAGCCUUAGCUUACCAGGGACUCCCUGAGUGAACAACACAGAGCCGGGAAUCAAUGCAAAAAGCAAGAGGAAUGUGUUGGGGUCGCCCUGCUGGUGGAGAGAGAGAACAACUACGCGCACCCUGUCUGGUUUGUCUCACGGAGAAUUCAGAGACGGUCUGCGUGGGACCUUCCCCUGCGGUGCUUAAGCCUCCCAGCCCACGUUGGUGCCCAUACUGGAUUCAUUUUUUUCCAGAACCAGUAUGCACAGGUCUGAAUCCUAAAGGAGAAUGAUCCACCUCAGGUUCAGCAAGGCCUCUAUCAGCCAAAUCAAGCCUAUGAUAAGGAAUUUGUAAGGGUCUUGAUGCCAUGGAAUCAAUCUGCUGCUUUAUAAAAUCAGUAAUUUUGUUAAAAAUGAAAGGCCCCAAAGCUACUACUAAUAAAGUGCUUAUUAAAAGUCCGAGGAGAAAUAUCAAGAGGGUGAACAUGGAGGACUUCCACCAAUUAUCGGCAGCAGCUGAAAACUGUUUUCUCUGGAGCUCCAAAUGAAGUUUGUGUAACUGUUGGACCGGAGUCUCCACUAGGCUGAGCUCAUUUACAUAAAAACAGCAUUCUUCUUUCAAAAAUAAACAGGUGCCACCCUUCUCAGUGGUCAGCAAA